rnacentral:rRNA from 1 species
ACCUACGGGAGGCAGCAGUGGGGGAUAUUGGACAAUGGGGGGAACCCUGAUCCAGCGACGCCGCGUGAGUGAAGAAGUAUUUCGGUAUGUAAAGCUCUGUCAGCAGGGAGGAAAGCAAUGACGGUACCUGACCAAGAAGCCCCGGCUAACUACGUGCCAGCAGCCGCGGUAAUACGUAGGGGGCAAGCGUUAUCCGGAAUUACUGGGUGUAAAGGGAGCGUAGACGGCAGCGCAAGUCUGGAGUGAAAUGCCGGGGCCCAACCCCGGAACUGCUUUGGAAACUGUGCAGCUCGAGUGCAGGAGAG